GCUCAUCACCCUUUGUGACAUACCUUAACUGUUGCUUCGGCGGGUAGGCGUCCCCUAAAAAGGACGUCUCCCGGCCCUCUCCCGUCCGCGGGUGGGGCGCCCGCCGGAGGAUAACCAAACUCUGAUUUAACGACGUUUCUUCUGAGUGACACAAGCAAAUAAUCAAAACUUUUAACAACGGAUCUCUUGGUUCUGGCAUCGAUGAAGAACGCAGCGAAAUGCGAUAAGUAAUGUGAAUUGCAAAAUUCAGUGAAUCAUCGAAUCUUUGAACGCACAUUGCGCCCGCCAGCAUUCUGGCGGGCAUGCCUGUUCGAGCGUCAUUUCAACCCUCAAGCUCUGCUUGGGGUUGGGGCUCUACAGUUGACGUAGGCCCUUAAAGGUAGUGGCGGACCCUCUCGGAGCCUCCUUUGCGUAGUAACAUUUCGUCUCGCAUUGUGAUUCGGAGGGACUCUAGCCGUAAAACCCCCAAUUUUACUAAGGUUGACCUCGGAUCAGGUAGGAAUACCCGCUGAACUUAAGCAUAU
rnacentral:rRNA from 1 species